CCUUACAUUGAUGCUUACCAGCUGUCAAAUCAAAGGUAGUAUAUCCUACUAUGUUUGAUGUUUAAUUAUAAGGUGACAGUGUAUGUUUUACCUUUGUGUUUCAACAAGGUGUCCACACUAGAGAAGCGAUGAAAAAUUACAAAGCACUAGACUCCUACAAGCUGCUGGAAUCUGGUUGGGUGCAGACAGUGAGGCAUAUCAUUCCUAAUGACACAACCCUCACGGUCCUGAGAGCUGACGUGACACCGUCAUUCCGGGUGAAUGAACCGCCGCAUCAUCCAUGGGCAGCCGUUACCCAGCGUGGCGAUGUGGUUGCUGCUCACUGUGACUGCAAAGCUGGCAGUGAUGGGACCCACCUGUGGCGCUAAUUCCAGGAUAUAAGAAGGCUGCAGAACAGGCUCUCGCUCUCUCUCAGCUGCCCUGCUCGGUGCAGCAGGACACCGCUCCUCUGUUCUGUUUUAUUGUUGUUGGAACCACUGUGUUGGAUAAAUAAAUGAUUGUUUUGGGCAA